AUGAACGCUGGCGGCGUGCCUAAUACAUGCAAGUCGAGCGAACAGACGAGGAGCUUGCUCCUCUGACGUUAGCGGCGGACGGGUGAGUAACACGUGGAUAACCUACCUAUAAGACUGGGAUAACUUCGGGAAACCGGAGCUAAUACCGGAUAAUAUAUUGUACCGCAUGGUUCAAUAGUGAAAGACGGUUUUGCUGUCACUUAUAGAUGGAUCCGCGCCGCAUUAGCUAGUUGGUAAGGUAACGGCUUACCAAGGCAACGAUGCGUAGCCGACCUGAGAGGGUGAUCGGCCACACUGGAACUGAGACACGGUCCAGACUCCUACGGGAGGCAGCAGUAGGGAAUCUUCCGCAAUGGGCGAAAGCCUGACGGAGCAACGCCGCGUGAGUGAUGAAGGUCUUCGGAUCGUAAAACUCUGUUAUUAGGGAAGAACAAAUGUGUAAGUAACUAUGCACGUCUUGACGGUACCUAAUCAGAAAGCCACGGCUAACUACGUG
rnacentral:rRNA from 1 species